UGAUAAACGAGGGUAAUGUGGACCAAACCGAUACAGCUUAUUCGAACCCUGUGGAACAGUUUAGUCUGUACCCAAAACUUCAAAGGCUGCUCGAAGACCCCAUGGACCCCUCCAUAGACAGCGUCUUUGCGAAGGCAACUAGACAACUCCACAGAGCGUGUCUAUCGUCAACUAAGGAUGCCAGCGACACAGCGCUGACUGAGCUUCACUCGAUCCUCGAUCCCUUGGG